rnacentral:rRNA from 1 species
GAUGAACGCUGGCGGCGUGCCUAAUACAUGCAAGUCGAGCGAAUGGAUUAAGAGCUUGCUCUUAUGAGGUUAGCGGCGGACGGGUGAGUAACACGUGGGUAACCUGCCCAUAAGACUGGGAUAACUCCGGGAAACCGGGGCUAAUACCGGAUAACAUUUUGAACCGCAUGGUUCGAAAUUGAAAGGCGGCUUCGGCUGUCACUUAUGGAUGGACCCGCGUCGCAUUAGCUAGUUGGUGAGGUAACGGCUCACCAAGGCAACGAUGCGUAGCCGACCUGAGAGGGUGAUCGGCCAACCUGGGACUGAGACACGGCCCAGACUCCUACGGGAGGCAGCAGUAGGGAAUCUUCCGCAAUGGACGAAAGUCUGACGGAGCAACGCCGCGUGAGUGAUGAAGGCUUUCGGGUCGUAAAACUCUGUUGUUAGGGAAGAACAAGUGCUAGUUGAAUAAGCUGGCACCUUGACGGUACCUGACCAGAAAGCCACGGCUAACUACGUGCCAGCCGCCGCCGUAA